rnacentral:rRNA from 1 species
AUUAAACGCUGGCGGCAUGCCUUACACAUGCAAGUCGAACGGCAGCACGGGGGCAACCCUGGUGGCGAGUGGCGAACGGGUGAGUAAAGCAUCGGAACGUGCCCUGGAGUGGGGGAUAACGUAGCGAAAGUUACGCUAAUACCGCAUAUUCUGUGAGCAGGAAAGCAGGGGAUCGCAAGACCUUGCGCUCUGGGAGCGGCCGAUGUCAGAUUAGCUAGUUGGUGGGGUAAAGGCCUACCAAGGCGACGAUCCGUAGCGGGUCUGAGAGGAUGAUCCGCCACACUGGGACUGAGACACGGCCCAGACUCCUACGGGAGGCAGCAGUGGGGAAUUUUGGACAAUGGGCGAAAGCCUGAUCCAGCCAUGCCGCGUGAGUGAAGAAGGCCUCGGUU